UGCCAGCAAAAUGUGAAACUGGAGGUACAGCCACUUUAGGCCAUGUUUCCUCAGAUGUGAGUCCCAGUGAGAACCAAAGAGAGAAACGACACAUUUCAAAACCCAGCAGUACAACAUCAGUGAGACACAGAUCCAAGACUCACACUCAGUUGAUAAAAGAGAAGUUGCACCAGAUCAAAGCUGAGAUUCAGAAGAUCUCUAAAGCCCACCUGCAUCAGUGCCCUGAGAGGAAAGCAUAUCGUCCUUUUGUGUGGAAUGCUCUGAGUCCAUACGACACCACUGAGAUUGACAAUCUCCUC